AAUCAACGCUGGCGGCGUGCCUAACACAUGCAAGUCGAACGCGAGAGGGGCUUCGGCCCUGAUUGAGUGGCAAACGGGUGAGUAACGCGUGGGUGACCUACCUUCGAGUGGGGGAUAACGUUCCGAAAGGGACGCUAAUACCGCAUAACAUCCUGUCUUUGGACAGAUGGAGAUCAAAGCCGGGGAUCGUAAGACCUGGCGCUUGAGGAGGGCCCGCGUCCGAUUAGCUAGUGGUGGGAAUGGCUCACCAAGGCAACGAUCGGUAGCCGGCCUGAGAGGGCGGACGGCCACACUGGGACUGAGACACGGCCCAGACUCCUACGGGAGCAGCAGUGGGAAUUGUUCGCAAUGGGCGCAAGCCUGACGACGCAACGCCGCGUGAA
rnacentral:rRNA from 1 species